CUAGGUGAAUGGGGGGUCGGCGUUGAAACAAAGCUUCAAACCUUGCCAUGGAGCCCAGUUUUGCAAUGCAUCGAUCAGUCGUUGCAUCUUUGGGCAUAUCCUCUCCACCUCAUCAUCCCAAAUCGAGUGGCGGUGAGGGGUCUGGGGUAGAUCUCUUCCCGACCCUCGAGUUAGCGAGCACCAGCAUCUUCGGUGAAUGGGGCUUGCAGGUCGGCUAAGACAGCUAGGUCCUAGCCACGGGCUACAUGGAGGUGAAAACUGGUUUGUUGGUUUGGCUUAGUCCCACUGUGGAA
rnacentral:lncRNA from 1 species